UGAAAGGCGUAAUGAUUUGGGCGCUGUCUCAACAAUAGACUCGGUGAAAUUUAAAUUCCAGUGAAGAUGCUGGGUACCCGCGACAGGACGGAAAGACCCCGUGGAGCUUUACUGUAGCUUGAUAUUGAAUGUUUGUGCUGCAUGUGCAGGAUAGGUAGGAGACUUUGAAGUCGGAACGCUAGUUUCGAUUGAGUCACCCUUGAGAUACUACCUCUGUUGUAUGAACGUUCUAACUCUGAUCAGUUAUCCUGAUCGAAGACAGUGUCUGGCAGGCAGUUUGACUGGGGCGGUCGCCUCCUAAAAGAUAACGGAGGCGCUCAAAGGUUUGCUCAGAAUGGUUGGAAAUCAUUCGUAGCGUGUAAAGGCAUAAGCAAGCUUGACUGUGAGACUGACAAGUCGAGCAGGUACGAAAGUAGGACUUAGUGAUCCGGUGGUUCCGUAUGGAAGGGCCAUCGCUCAACGGACAAAAGCUACCCCGGGGAUAAC
rnacentral:rRNA from 1 species